rnacentral:rRNA from 1 species
AACGAACGCUGGCGGCGUGGAUAAGACAUGCAAGUCGAACGGGGAACUUACUUAGCUUGCUUUGAAAGUUCCUAGUGGCGAACGGGUGAGUAACACGUGAGUUACCUGCCCCAAAGCGGGGGAUAGCCUUCCGAAAGGAAGAUUAAUACCCCAUGUGCUCGCAAGAGUAAAGGCGGCUUCGGCUGUCGCUUUGGGAUGGGCUCGCGGCCUAUCAGCUAGUUGGUGAGGUAAAAGCUCACCAAGGCGAUGACGGGUAGCUGGUCUGAGAGGAUGAUCAGUCACACUGGAACUGAGACACGGCCCAGACACCUACGGGUGGCAGCAGUCGAGAAUCAUUCGCAAUGGACGAAAGUCUGACGGUGCGACGCCGCGUGGAGGAUGAAGGCCCUAGGGUCGUAAACUCCUGUCAUCAGGGAGUAAAGGUUUACGGAGUAACUGCCGUGGGCUCUGAUAGUACCUGAAGAGGAAGGGACGGCAAACUUCGUGCCAGCAGCCGCGGUAAUACGAAGGUCUCAAGCGUUGUUCGGAUUUACUGGGCGUAAAGCGUCUGUAGGCGGGAUGGUAAGUCAGAUGUGAAAUCCCGGGGCUCAACCCCGGAACUGCAUCCGAUACUG